rnacentral:rRNA from 1 species
AUAAAGUAUUAAAGGUAACGCCUGCCCAGUGAAAACUUAAACGGCCGCGGGAUCCUCCACCGUGCAAAGGUAGCAUAAUCACUUGUCCCCUAAAUAGUGACUAGUAUGAACGGCCAAAUGAAGAUUUUACUGUCUCUUACGACCAAUCUAUGAAACUAAUCUAUCAGUACAAAACCUGAUAUAUUAACAUAAGACGAAAAGACCCUGUGGAACUUCAAGCACACUCCAACACACCUCUGGCCUCCUGCUUUUAGUUGGGGCAACUUUGGAAAUAAACAAAACUUCCAAUCAACACAAGAUAUACAUAUCAUAUAAUACUUAACCUAUAGACCCAGUCUUACUGAUCAAAGAACCAAGCUACCCCAGGGAUAACAGCGCCAUCCCCUCCUAGAGCCCAAAUCGACGAGUGGGGUUUACGACCUCGAUGUUGGAUCAGGGCACCCAAACAGUGCAACAGCUGUUAAUGGUUUGUUUGUUCAACAAUUAAAGCCCUACGUGA